rnacentral:rRNA from 1 species
CCUACGGGGGGCAGCAGUGGGGAAUAUUGGGCAAUGGGCGCAAGCCUGACCCAGCAACGCCGCGUGAAGGAAGAAGGCUUUCGGGUUGUAAACUUCUUUUAAGGGGGAAGAGCAGAAGACGGUACCCCUUGAAUAAGCCACGGCUAACUACGUGCCAGCAGCCGCGGUAAUACGUAGGUGGCAAGCGUUGUCCGGAUUUACUGGGUGUAAAGGGCGUGCAGCCGGAGAGACAAGUCAGAUGUGAAAUCCACGGGCUCAACCCGUGAACUGCAUUUGAAACUGUUUCCCUUGAGUGUCGGAGAGGUAAUCGGAAUUCCUUGUGUAGCGGUGAAAUGCGUAGAUAUAAGGAAGAACACCAGUGGCGAAGGCGGAUUACUGGACGAUAACUGACGGGGAGGCGCGAAAGCGUGGGGAGCAAACAGGAUUAGAUACCCCUGUAGUC